rnacentral:rRNA from 1 species
UUAGUUGGCGGGGUAACGGCCCACCAAGACGAUGAUCAGUAGGGGAACUGAGAGGUUGAUCCCCCACACUGGCACUGAGAUACGGGCCAGACUCCUACGGGAGGCAGCAGUAGGGAAUAUUGGUCAAUGGAUGCAAGUCUGAACCAGCCAUGCCGCGUGCAGGAAGAAGGCCUUCUGGGUUGUAAACUGCUUUUGUCAGGGGAUAAAAUAGGCGUGCGCGCUUAAUUGAAGGUACCUGGCGAAUAAGCCACGGCUAACUACGUGCCAGCAGCCGCGGUAAUACGUAGGUGGCAAGCGUUGUCCGGAUUUAUUGGGUUUAAAGGGUGCGUAGGCGGUCCCAUAAGUCAGUGGUGAAAUACUCUAGCUCAACUAGAGAGGUGCCAUUGAUACUGCGGGACUUGAGUGGAGUUGAAGUGGGCGGAAUUGACGGUGUAGCGGUGAAAUGCUUAGAUAUCGUCAAGAACACCGAUAGUGAAGACAGCUCACUAAGCUCAAACUGACGCUGAGGCACGAAAGUGUGGGGAUCAAACAGGAUUAGAUACCCUGGUAGUCCACACUGUAAACGUUGAUUACUCGCUGUUGGCGAUACACAGCCAGCGGCUAAGCGCAAGCGAUAAGUAAUCCACCUGGGGAGUACGCCGGCAACGGUGAAACUCAAAGGAAUUGACG